UGGACCACAGCAUCUUCGGAAUUUGUAGACAUCCUGGCAGCUUACAAUUAGUUCGAGGUGAGACACUGAAUUUGAGCAGAAACCAUAAGGAUACUCAAAGGACCUGUGACUCUCAGGAAAUGCAUCAAAUGAGAGGGACAGAUGAAACAGUUUCAAGACAAUGGCAGGAAAAACAUGCUGAAGAUUGAAACAAACCUUGGCUGGAAAUAUUUG